AGUGGGGAAUAUUGGACAAUGGGCGCAAGCCUGAUCCAGCCAUGCCGCGUGAGUGAUGAAGGCCUUAGGGUUGUAAAGCUCUUUCAGUGGGGAAGAUAAUGACGGUACCCACAGAAGAAGCCCCGGCUAACUUCGUGCCAGCAGCCGCGGUAAUACGAAGGGGGCUAGCGUUGUUCGGAUUUACUGGGCGUAAAGCGCACGUAGGCGGAUCGUUAAGUGAGGGGUGAAAUCCCAGGGCUCAACCCUGGAACUGCCUUUCAUACUGGCGAUCUCGAGUCCGGAAGAGGUGAGUGGAACUCCUAGUGUAGAGGUGGAAUUCGUAGAUAUUAGGAAGAACACCAGUGGCGAAGGCGGCUCACUGGUCCGGUACUGACGCUGAGGUGCGAAAGCGUGGGGAGCAAA
rnacentral:rRNA from 1 species